CCGGUAGUAGGUAAGCGUAUUAACAGGGGUGACGCAGGAAGGUAGCCCGGCGUGGCGAUGGUAGACCACGUCCAAGGCUGUAGGCCGUCUGGUAGGCAAAUCCGCCAGGCAUGAAGGCUGAGAGCUGACGGUGAGCGCACAAGCGCGAACUGGGUGAUCCUAUGCUGCCAAGAAAAGCCUCGGCGCGAGGUUCUAGCCGCCCGUACCCCAAACCGACUCAGGUGGUCAGGUAGAGAAUACUAAGGCGAUCGAGAGAAUCGUGGUUAAGGAACUCGGCAAAAUGCCCCCGUAACUUCGGGAGAAGGGGGGCCCGAAGCGUGAACACCCUCGCGGUGGGAGCGUGGACGGCCGCAGAGACCAGGGAGAAGCGACUGUUUACUAAAAACACAGGUCCGUGCGAAGUCGCAAGACGAUGUAUACGGACUGACGCCUGCCCGGUGCUGGAAGGUUAAGAGGACGGGUCAACCCUUCGGGGUGAAGCUCAGAAUUUAAGCCCCAGUAAACGGCGGUGGUAACUAUAACCAUCCUAAGGUAGCGAAAUUCCUUGUCGGGUAAGUUCCGACCUGCACGAAUGGCGUAACGACUUCUCCGCUGUCUCAACCGCGAACUCGGCGAAAUUGCACUACGAGUAAAGAUGCUCGUUACGCGCAGCAGGACGGAAAGACCCCGGGACCUUUACUAUAGCUUGGUAUUGGUGUUCGGUGCGGCUUGUGUAGGAUAGGUGGGAGACUGUGAAGCCCGUACGCCAGUGCGGGUGGAGUCAACGUUGAAAUACCACUCUGGCCGCUUCGGAUGUCUAACCUCGGUCCGUGAUCCGGACCAGGGACAGUGCCUGGUGGGUAGUUUAACUGGGGCGGUUGCCUCCUAAAAUGUAACGGAGGCGCUCAAAGGUUCCCUCAGCCUGGUUGGCAAUCAGGUGUCGAGUGCAAGUGCACAAGGGAGCUUGACUGUGAGACUGACAGGUCGAGCAGGGACGAAAGUCGGAACUAGUGAUCCGGCGGUGGCUUGUGGAAGCGCCGUCGCUCAACGGAUAAAAGGUACCCCGGGGAUAACAGGCUGAUCUUGCCCAAGAGUCCAUAUCGACGGCAUGGUUUGGCACCUCGAUGUCGGCUCGUCGCAUCCUGGGGCUGGAGUAGGUCCCAAGGGUUGGGCUGUUCGCCCAUUAAAGCGGUACGCGAGCUGGGUUUAGAACGUCGUGAGACAGUUCGGUCCCUAUCCGCUGCGCGCG
rnacentral:rRNA from 1 species